rnacentral:tRNA from 1 species
UGGCUGAGUGGUAAAGCGCCUGGCUUCGAGCCGGGGUACCGGGUUCGAAUCCUGG